rnacentral:lncRNA from 1 species
AAAAAACGUCACAUGCAACGGUUGUAUCUUUCUCGUGUAACUUUAACCUAAUAUAUUCAAAUCGAAAUUUGUUCAUAUCUCGGUGUGUUUACUUGUGACAUCAAACCAUGAGGUAUAUGCAUCUUGGUAUCUAUAAGAAAGUUCCACUUUGUGCAAGUUAGACUUAAUAUUUGUCAUUGCAAGUUGAAAUAAACUUGCAUGUACCAUCUCUUUCACGUAUACAAUUAUAUCACACUCAUAUAAUGUUGUAAAUACGAGAAAAACGUCGAAUGCAACAAUUGCAUGCAAUUCUUUCUUGUGUAAGUCGCAUUUAUUAUAAAACAACAGUGUAUAAAAAGAAGAAAUUAGGUUCUCAUCCCUCUUAUUCUAUUGCAUUGAUUAAAACCUUAUUUCUUUUUAAUUUUUUAUCAAGGUCCCUAAUUUUUAAUGAACAUCAUUAUUUUAGUUAUAUACUAUUUACAUAUCAACAUAAUUUAUUUCUAAAAUUACAUUUGGAAUAUUUAUAUUUACGGUUAAACUUUAUAUCAUAUAUUUCUAUUUUGAGUUUGCACCAUUUUUAAUUUGUACUAAUUUUCAUUUUAGUUUUGAUUUGUACCCAAAUAUUAAUUUCAUUUUGUGCCCAUAUUUUCAAAAUUUUUAUUUAUACUCAUAAUUUAUUUAUAAUGUACCCAUUUUUCUUUAUAAAUGUGCCACACUUUGUUAUAUGUAAAAUGUACCCUUUUUUUUUUUUUUUU